CCUACGGGCGGCUGCAGUGAGGAAUAUUGGUCAAUGGGCGCGAGCCUGAACCAGCCAAGCCGCGUGAAGGAUGAAGGUCCUACGGGUUGUAAACUUCUUUUAUAAGGGAAUAAAGUCGGGCACGUGUCCCUGGUUGUAUGUACUUUAUGAAUAAGGAUCGGCUAACUCCGUGCCAGCAGCCGCGGUAAUACGGAGGAUCCGAGCGUUAUCCGGAUUUAUUGGGUUUAAAGGGAGCGUAGAUGGGUUGUUAAGUCAGUUGUGAAAGUUUGCGGCUCAACCGUAAAAUUGCAAUUGAUACUGGCAGCCGUGAGUACAGUUGAGGUAGGCGGAAUUCGUGGUGUAGCGGUGAAAUGCUUAGAUAUCACGAAGAACUCCGAUUGCGAAGGCAGCUUACUAAACUGCCACUGACAUUGAUGCUCGAAAGUGUGGGUAUCAAACAGGAUUAGAUACCCUAGUAGUC
rnacentral:rRNA from 1 species